UGUUCUGUGGCGGGGUUGGUUAACGCGCCCUGUCUAGCGAACUUGGGGAGACGUGGGUUCAAACCCCACCUGAACUA
rfam:Aedes albopictus isolate Foshan contig127891, whole genome shotgun sequence.